GGGUGUCUCAAUUAGGGUUUUCUUAUUGACUAAUUAUUGUCCUAAUUAUUGAUUUUAGUGGCAGUUGUUACAUAACUACAUGAUUUGAUCCCCAGAAUCUACAAAUGAUUGGUAAACAAACUAAGUUUUCCGGAAAAACCAUUUUGAUUAAAACAAACUUAAGUGUUUUGAAAUCAUAAUGGGAAAAUAGUUUGUUGUGAUGGGGAGUUUUGAUUGUUUACGCCAAGUGGAUGGAGAAUUGAAGUGAUUCUCAUCAAGUUGUCAAGCUUGUACAGUUUGUUUCAAAUUUUCUCAGAAAAUCAAAAUUGAAACAUAUUUUGAUUUUAGGGGGAGAAAAAUUUUUAAAAAAUUAGAAAAUUUGAAAAAGUCAAAAACAUCGAAAAUUUAAAAACGAGUUUUGUUGUGAAAAAGAGGAAAUGAUAGUAAAUCAGUGGACUAUCACAGCAUGCUAAAGAAAUGUAAUGUCAAAUGUGAUAAAUGAUUUCACUAAAGAUGUGACGAUAGGCUCAGCUAGACUAGUAGAUUUGCGAUAACGAUACAAACAUAAAUGAAAAAGCCUAGUUCUAGUGGGAAACAUGGUUGAAAGCAUAGUACUUAGUUUUGUCCUUCUUGACUGUGUGCCUGCUCAGUAAUCGCUGAUUGUCGAAAGACAUAAAACUGGUUAAGUUUGUGAACUUUCACUACUUUGCUGAAAAAUCGCUGUGAUUGUGCAUUUCAUUUUGCAAAGAUUUAAACUUGUUUGAUUUCUUUUUUUUGUUUAAGCAUCGGACAUCCUCUGCGUAUACGGGAGUAUCGACCUGGAUGUUCUUUGGACCUCCUAUGCGUAUACGGAAGUAUCGACCUGGUGGUUAA
rnacentral:lncRNA from 1 species